rnacentral:rRNA from 12 species
UUCUGUUGUCAUAUCGUCCUGCAAGUGCCUGAUUCAAUCAGGGCCUGGGUAGCACUUGGAUGGGAGAGCACCUUGGGAGACCAGGGGCCACUGGUC